UAGAGGAAGUAAAAGUCGUAACAAGGUCUCCGUUGGUGAACCAGCGGAGGGAUCAUUACUGAGUUUACGCUCUACAACCCUUUGUGAACAUACCUAUAACUGUUGCUUCGGCGGGUAGGGUCUCCGUGACCCUCCCGGCCUCCCGCCCCCCGGGCGGGUCGGCGCCCGCCGGAGGAUAACCAAACUCUGAUUUAACGACGUUUCUUCUGAGUGGUACAAGCAAAUAAUCAAAACUUUUAACAACGGAUCUCUUGGUUCUGGCAUCGAUGAAGAACGCAGCGAAAUGCGAUAAGUAAUGUGAAUUGCAGAAUUCAGUGAAUCAUCGAAUCUUUGAACGCACAUUGCGCCCGCCAGCAUUCUGGCGGGCAUGCCUGUUCGAGCGUCAUUUCAACCCUCAAGCUCUGCUUGGUGUUGGGGCCCUACAGCUGAUGUAGGCCCUCAAAGGUAGUGGCGGACCCUCCCGGAGCCUCCUUUGCGUAGUAACUUUACGUCUCGCACUGGGAUCCGGAGGGACUCUUGCCGUAAAACCCCCCAAUUUUCCAAAGGUUGACCUCGGAUCAGGUAGGAAUACCCGCUGAACUUAAGCAUAUCAAUA
rnacentral:rRNA from 1 species